GAUGGAAGGAGGGAGAUACUCUACAUGCCUGCAGUGGAGCUGGACUGUCCUCCACUCCACACCAUCAGCAGUGUAUGUAGUGUUUUGGAGGAGGCUGGGUUAUGGUGCGGUGGGAAUUGUGGCUCAGAUAAAUAACCAGUUGGAGUUAUGGAAGUCAGGGCAGUUCAACCCAUGUGUUCCUGUGGUCCUACGAUGGGAGUGGAGGAGACAAGAUGACCAUGACUGUCACAGCCAGUACAACUCUAUUCUGACUGUUAACAUUAGAGACUGGCCUGCCACCCCCCAACUGUGAGCUGGAGCCUGUCACUCUGAUCCUCCACAGACUGGCCUGCCACCCCCCAACUGUGAGCUGGAACCUGUCACUCUGAUCCUCCACAGACUGGCCUGCCACCCCCCAACUGUGAGCUGGAGCCUGU
rnacentral:lncRNA from 13 species